rnacentral:rRNA from 1 species
ACGAACGCUGGCGGCGUGCUUAACCCAUGCCAGUCGAACGGAAAGGCCUGCUUUCCCUUGUGGAUUGCGGGUACUCGAGUGGCGAACGGGUGAGUAACACGUGAGUGAUCUGCCCCCAACUUGGGUAUAAGCCUGGGAAACUGGGUCUAAUUCCCGAUAGGACUGCAGGGUGGUGCCUGUGGUGGAAAACGAUUUUCUAGUGGUUGGGGAUGAGCUCGCGGCCUAUCAGCUUGUUGGUGGGGUAAUGGCCUACCAAGGCGGCGACGGGUAGCCGGCCUGAGAGGGUGGACGGCCACAUUGGGACUGAGAGACGGCCCAGACUCCUACGGGAGGCAGCAGUGGGGAAUAUUGCACAAUGGGCGGAAGCCUGAUGCAGCGACGCCGCGUGGGGGAUGACGGCCUUCGGGUUGUAAACUCCUUUCGACCGCGAGGAAGCCACCUGGUUGGAAGGGUGGUGACGGUAGUGGUAGAAGAAGCACCGGCUAACUACGUG